AUUGAACGCUGGCGGCAUGCUUUACACAUGCAAGUCGAACGGCAGCGCGGGGCAACCUGGCGGCGAGUGGCGAACGGGUGAGUAAUACAUCGGAACGUACCCAGAAGUGGGGGAUAACGUAGCGAAAGUUACGCUAAUACCGCAUACGUUCUACGGAAGAAAGUGGGGGAUCUUCGGACCUCAUGCUUUUGGAGCGGCCGAUGUCUGAUUAGCUAGUUGGUGAGGUAAAGGCUCACCAAGGCGACGAUCAGUAGCUGGUCUGAGAGGACGACCAGCCACACUGGGACUGAGACACGGCCCAGACUCCUACGGGAGGCAGCAGUGGGGAAUUUUGGACAAUGGGCGCAAGCCUGAUCCAGCAAUGCCGCGUGAGUGAAGAAGGCCUUCGGGUUGUAAAGCUCUUUUGUCAGGGAAGAAACGGGGUUGGCUAAUAUCCGGCCCUAAUGACGGUACCUGAAGAAUAAGCACCGGCUAACUACGUGCCAGCCGCCGCCGUAACAC
rnacentral:rRNA from 1 species